rnacentral:rRNA from 1 species
AUUGAACGCUGGCGGCAUGCUUUACACAUGCAAGUCGGACGGCAGCACAGAGAAGCUUGCUUCUUGGGUGGCGAGUGGCGAACGGGUGAGUAACAUAUCGGAACGUACCGAGCAGUGGGGGAUAACUAAUCGAAAGAUUAGCUAAUACCGCAUAUAUUCUGAGGAAGAAAGCAGGGGACCAUUUGGCCUUGCGCUGUUUGAGCGGCCGAUAUCUGAUUAGCUAGUUGGUGGGGUAAAGGCCUACCAAGGCGACGAUCAGUAGCGGGUCUGAGAGGAUGAUCCGCCACACUGGGACUGAGACACGGCCCAGACUCCUACGGGAGGCAGCAGUGGGGAAUUUUGGACAAUGGGCGCAAGCCUGAUCCAGCCAUGCCGCGUGUCUGAAGAAGGCCUUCGGGUUGUAAAGGACUUUUGUCAGGGAAGAAAAGGGCGGGGUUAAUACCCCUAUCUGAUGACGGACCUGAAGAAAAGC